rnacentral:rRNA from 1 species
CGGCAACAGCUCAAAUUUGAAAUCUGGCCCUUGUGGUCCGAGUUGUAAUUUGUAGAGGAUGCUUUUGGUGCGGUGCCUUCCGAGUUCCCUGGAACGGGACGCCAUAGAGGGUGAGAGCCCCGUCUGGUUGGACACCAAGCCUCUGUAAAGCUCCUUCGACGAGUCGAGUAGUUUGGGAAUGCUGCUCUAAAUGGGAGGUAUAUGUCUUCUAAAGCUAAAUACCGGCCAGAGACCGAUAGCGCACAAGUAGAGUGAUCGAAAGAUGAAAAGCACUUUGAAAAGAGGGUUAAAUAGUACGUGAAAUUGUUGAAAGGGAAGCGUUUGUGACCAGACUUGGGCUUGGUUAAUCAUCCAGCGUUCUCGCUGGUGCACUUUGCCAGCCCAGGCCAGCAUCAGUUCGCUGCGGGGGAUAAAAGAUCCGGGAAUGUGGCUCUUCGGAGUGUUAUAGCCCGUUUCUUAAUACCCUGUGGUGGACUGAGGUUCGCGCAUCUGCAAGGAUGCUGGCGUAAUGGUCAUCAACGACCCGUCUUGAAACACGGACCAAGGAGUCGUCUUCGUAUGCGAGUGUUCGGGUGUCAAACCCCUACGCGUAAUGAAAGUGAACGGAGGUGGGAGCCUCGGCGCACCAUCGACCGAUCCUGAUGUUUUCGGAUGGAUUUGAGUAAGAGCAUACGGGGCCGGACCCGAAAGAAGGUGAACUAUGCCUGUAUAGGGUGAAGCCAGAGGAAACUCUGGUGGAGGCUCGCAGCGGUUCUGACGUGCAAAUCGAUCGUCAAAUAUGGGCAUGGGGGCGAAAGACUAAUCGAACCUUCUAGUAGCUGGUUUCCGCCGAAGUUUCCCUCAGGAUAGCAGUGUUGAACUCAGUUUUAUGAGGUAAAGCGAAUGAUUAGGGACUCGGGGGCGCUAUUUAGCCUUCAUCCAUUCUCAAACUUUAAAUAUGUAAGAAGCCCUUGUUGCUUAAUUGAACGUGGGCAUUCGAAUGUAUCAACACUAGUGGGCCAUUUUUGGUAAGCAGAACUGGCGAUGCGGGAUGAACCGAACGCGAGGUUAAGGUGCCAGAGUAGACGCUCAUCAGACACCACAAAAGGUGUUAGUACAUCUUGACAGCAGGACGGUGGCCAUGGAAGUCGGAAUCCGCUAAGGACUGUGUAACAACUCACCUGCCGAAUGUACUAGCCCUGAAAAUGGAUGGCGCUCAAGCGUCUCACCCAUACCUCGCCCUCAGGGUAGAAACGAUGCCCUGAGGAGUAGGCGGACGUGGAGGUCGUGACGAAGCCUAGGGCG